CGCGCGCAGAGCUUCCCGCUGGGGCCGCCUCUUCAGGCUUGUCCCUUCUCCACCGCAGGCUGGCGUGGGUUGGUUUUGCACGGGGAGCUCACAUCCAGCCUUUCCGGCCCCUGGGGCCUCUGGCGCGUGCCCAGGUCCUCGAGCAGCAGCGGAGUCCCAAUGUUACGGAGAAGCCCCCAUAUAAAACUUGGGUUCCUGGCUGUGGGUUCUCACUUGCGCGCUUACAAGGGACUUAUGAAUACUCCACUACAGGCGCACACAAAAGGGUAAUAAAAGGUUUAUUUACAAGGGAAAAAGGAAUUAAGGAAAAUGUACAACUCAGGGAGAAAAUAGGGAAAUAAAGUCUUUCAUGCGUCCUACCGGAUCCGCCGACCUGGAAACCCAAAGGCACUCUCAGAGCUGGCCGGACGCUGCGAGCUGGUGGGGAGCCAAAAUGGGGGACCCCUCCAAAGCCCACGUGUCUGGCUUUAUACCAACCUGGCUGCUGAACCCCACCCUCAGGUCCCAGCCACCUUCCCUUAGUGGGAUGGGAUUUGGAGUUCCCAGUGGCUUUGGUUUUGGCCUGGGGUGGGGGUGGAAUCCACAAAGCCCAUAUGGAAUUAGCUUUAGGACAGCCUUUCCCCCCUAACACCAACAGGGUGGCCCCUCCCAUCACUGCACAUUCACCCCUGAAAGAAGAGUGGUUAUCUGCAGGGGCUUGCGAGGUUGCAGACCAGCUUUGGCCCUCAUUAGUUUGUGGGACUUCGGCCUGUGGUGGUCCGGCCUGGCUGACACUCCAAUCGAUCUGAAUAGUCUAGGGUGCAGGAAGUCCUAAGCCAAAACCAAAAGUUUGACUUCAGAUCUACAGCACCUUCCCCAACUAACAUAUCGGUAAUAAACUUGACUGGUAACUAUCCAUUGUUUCAUUCCUGUGUCUGAUUUUUUCAGUUCCACUCAGAAAGGGGAGAAGAAAUGCUAUUGUUUCGUCAUCUUUAAUGAGAACUGCUUCGUAAGGUCACAAGACUGUCAACCCGCACCCUAAACCAUGGCUCAAUACCCUGGUGGCUUUGUGUGGUGUCCUGAGGUUUCCUCCCUCAGCAUCUCUGUUGAAAACCUUUCCUGCCUGCAUGCUGGAAUUCCACUCUGCCUGUUUGGGCCUGAAGCUGUGUUCUCUUUAUAACUCAUUUCUACUCCUUGGAAAAGGAUUCAAUAAAAGCUUAAUUGGUUUUCCACUGGUCCUGGGCAAGAUGAGUGUUAGCAUAUUAUUAUUUUAUAGAAACAUGAAUAAUAAAAUAAGUCAUAAGUCAUGAAACAGCACUGGGCACAU